AUCUCAAGGCAUAUAGGUUUAAGGGGACGCUAGGCAGGCCUACCAUAGAUUGAGGAGAAGGAGAUGCGUAUUUUACUGUUAUAAUUCAGUUGAGUGCGUUACGACCAUGGUAUAUGUGUAUAAGAGGAGUAAUUCCUGAUCUUCCCAGUUGCCUAUUAAGUUGCUAAAGCUUUUGUUUGGCAUACCGCACCUUGCAUCGAUACACCUUUUGCCUGCAGUUACAACAAUUGCAAGAGAGCGGCACCCACAGUGAGAGUAAGAGCCAAAGAGUGCAGUGCUCUGUGCAAAAAACUGCCACGCAAAAAGGCGGCCGGCUUGUAGGUGCCCCCUCUGUCUACCCUUCCCUCUUACCAACACCUACUCAUAUGUGUGGUACUGCAGCUCUCCCUUCGCUGCACUUCGUCUUCUCGUAUGAGUGUGUCUGUGUGCGAUGCACUUGGUGCGAUUCAUUUGCUUUUAUUACCAUUUCUUGCUUCACCCUUUCCCCCUCGGCCCCAACCACUCGCCGUCGCUGCGUUGGCGUCGCUGACGCCGCCAUCCUCUCUCUCUUGCGUAGGGGGGACUUUCCGUAUAUAAGGUGGCAACCCUGGCCCGGACAUAAUGCGUUGGAGAAUCAGUUCUGUACCCUUUUCGGCCAGUCGGGAGCGCGACUUUGAAUUGCAUGGAACGGUGCCGUAUCGGGGAAACACUGCAAUUGCAAAAAGAGAAAGAGAACUUUAUAAAAAUAAAUUACCAAAGACAUUCCAAAAAAAUAUAAAAUGCCAGCGGCAAUGACAAUAAUUCAAUGCAAAAGUGUGUGCAAAACAAGUGGAAAACUGUUUUUGAAAAAGCAAUGAUCUGAUAGUGGAAAAAGAAAAGAGUGCGACACCAUGCCCCUCGCUGGGCCAAAGGACAAUGGUUCAAGUGCAAAGAAGAUGCCGCCCAGCACGACGAGCAUGCAACAAGGACGGAGCGACAUGCAAGGACAUUACGAGCGAGCGAAAUGCCGUGAUUAUAAAGAGGAAGGACAGGAAUGGAAUGGAAUGCAAAGAUGUAGGAUGAAACUUGGAUACAAAGAAGUAGGAAUAGAAAUAAAUAAUUCCCAAAACCAAGAAUAAUAUAUGGAGAUUAUGGAGUCACAAAGGAGGAACAAAAGAGGAACUUCUGCCGCUCCAGAAAGGAAUUUCACAACUUUAUCAAAUACUAAAUGGAUUAAACACGUUCUUCCACCCCAAAGAGGGUUGUUUUGUCUCCUCUUCAUCCUCCGAUUUCAGAUGGAUAAAUGGAUAAAAAAGUUUAUAAAACAAUAAAACAGAGAAACAAAAUGGUGCAUACUUAUAUAUGGACCAUUAACAGAAACCCGUAAUUCCGAACUUGUGCUGUUUUAUAUCUGUUACAAGACCGGCAUUAUGGGAGUCUGUCAAUGCAAACAACUGGUUUUUGGCAACAAAAUUUAUCACAAAUUUUCGAAAAACAUACCUUUUGCAUACAAAUUGAAGGAUAAUGGAAAUACCAACACAUCGCAUAGGAAAUUGUUAAUCGUUGAGGAAUUUCAAUAUUCAUCGAGUAUAAAGGACAAGGUUAAAUGGAAAGAAUAAAUUUAAAAAAUAAAUGCAGUAUUAAUUAUAAAAGGAAUAUACUUAAAUGUAUUGACAAUCAGUGCAGUGCCAGAAAACUUAAACUUAAACUAACGAUGGAAUAAUCAAGUGAGCGUUAAAUAAAUAAUGUAAAGAUUGGCUGAAAAUAUUCUUAAAUGGUGCAUUAAUGAAUCAAUGGAAAACAUAAAAUUUCCAUAGAAAUAUAAGUCCCAUUAACCAUCUAGAGAACUUAAAUGAAUCAUCAUUUAUUGAUCAUUUACUAUAAAUUAUUCAAAUCCAUCGAAAAGUGUGAUUUAAUCAAUAUAAACUAAAUGAACAAAUAUUUAAAAAUCAAUAUUAAAUGACUGAAAAGAUUAGAAUUUAUUCAAUUCAUAAGAACAUUUCGUGAGAACAAGCAAAUAGUUUUCAUCUUUAAAGUAUUUUCUUUAGUACCUGAUAUUCUUUAGAACGAAACCAAAAGAUCCCAUUACAUACUCCAUAUAAUUUGUCACCAUUUUGUUACUUUUAUGUUUUUGGCAAAAAUUUGUUUAACCACAAAACCGAAUAAACCCAAAGAAUCCUAAAACCGCAAACCAUAAGCCCAACAAAAAGGACCAGCACCAAGGACCUUUUUCUCUCUGGCAAAUUGAGGUAGUAGGUUGUAUAGUAGUACUUCAGAUCGUACUAUACAAUGUGCUAGCUUUCUUUGCUUGACUAUAAGCCUCAUUUGAACAGCCCAGCCCCCCGCCCCGAACAGCUCCCGUACGCCCCCCCCAGCUCCGAACAAAGUGUGGAACCAAAAAAAUAUACAAACCGAAAAGAAAUACAAAAGUGGUGCUGCGAAAUGCGAAGUAAUGCGCGAAUUGUUCUUGAAAUUGGAAUCGAUGCGAAUGUCGAAUUGCGUCUGCAUCUGCAUCUGCGUCUGCAUCUGAGAUUAUUGUAUUUGCAUAAACGUCCGAGUAUCCAAGUAUCCGAGUAGUCCCGAGUAUUGGUAUGAGUGACAUGUGCAAAUGUUUGUAUGGCUGAUUCCCUGAGACCCUAACUUGUGACUUUUAAUACCAGUUUCACAAGUUUUGAUCUCCGGUAUUGGACGCAAACUUGCUGAUGUUAUACAAAAAAAAAGCAAAAAGAAAAGCAAAAAUGCAAAAACUGAAUGAUUACAGAAGAAUCCGGAUGUGAGUAUGGGUAAAAAAGUAAUAAGACAUUCUUAUGGAGGUACAUAUUUAUUGAAAAUUGAUGCACAAGUAUUCGAAUGCUGUGGAAUUUCUUGUAAUGUAACAUUCAGCCCACAGAGAAAUGCAGAAUUUUUUGGAUACGAAUAUGGAUAUGAAUAUUCACAGAUUACUAAAAGGGUAACUAAAGGUUUGCUGUAACUACUGGUAAAGGUAUUGUGAAGUAUUCGGAACUUUGCGGUUUUUGUAUUAAUACUAUACUUCUUUAACCCACAGACAGAAGAAACACAGGACUGGAUAAAAAAGAUCUGCCAACUGCUAGAAAAACUCAAGUAUUGGUUGAGAGAGCACGCCUCAAAGCUAGAAUUACUAACGGAUAAAGUUCCAUACUUCCAUUACAUGUUCCAUACACAGUACACAUCAAUCAACCCACAGAGGAAGUUCUUUUUAUUUGGCAUAAAAUGUCCUAGGAUGCCCAUCUUAUAUAGUUUUUAAGUAUUCUUCUUAAAGAGUGAUGAAAACUCUGAGACAUUCACAGAAAAUGAUUGUUUCUUUGAUUGACUCGGAAUAAUCUUCUUUAUGACCAAAAUUUUAAUAUUCUUUAAACACAAAAUGCCCUUCUUCACAUCUUUUGGCAGUCAAGAAUAUUCAUUCCAUUGGGAUUUACUUUAAUCUUAUAUGUAUUAGCUCUAAGCUCAAGAAGUAUUGAACUCGUUUUACGAUUAGUCCUAAAAUAUCUUUGAUUUGUAGAUAAAAUAGUUCAUAGAAUCCUUUAUGAAACACAUAUCGCAAAUUCUAGAUCUAUGUUCUAUCAUAAGGAAUAAUAUUGAUACAUUAUACAUAUAUUUCCACUAGUUCCCCUCAAAAAUCAUUCAAAAGACGCUCCAGAUAUAUACUUAAUAACAAAAUAUUUAUUGUUAGCCCAAAGAUGGGCAAAUAUUCUCUCUGAAACCACACAUAUAAAACAAAAUAUGAUUUAAAAUUGGCUUAACUACGAUAUGAACUACAUUCUAAGUACUAGAGAUGUGAGAUGUGAAUAAAUUCAUGAAACAUAGUCGACUUUAAUCUGAACAAUUUAAUUGUCUAGAGAGUACAAAAAGGUAUAAAGAUAUACGAUAUAGAUGUAUUGGAUUGAUUGGAUUGGAUUGGAG